rnacentral:rRNA from 1 species
GUACGGGAGGCAGCAGUGGGGAAUUUUGGACAAUGGGGGAAACCCUGAUCCAGCCAUUCCGCGUGAGUGAAGAAGGCCUUCGGGUUGUAAAGCUCUUUUGUCCGGAACGAAACGGUUGCGACCAAUACUCGCGACUACUGACGGUACCGGAAGAAUAAGCACCGGCUAACUACGUGCCAGCAGCCGCGGUAAUACGUAGGGUGCGAGCGUUAAUCGGAAUUACUGGGCGUAAAGCGUGCGCAGGCGGUUUUGUAAGCCAGAUGUGAAAGCCCCGGGCUCAACCUGGGAAUGGCAUUUGGGACUGCAAGGCUUGAGUGCGGCAGAGGAGACUGGAAUUCCUGGUGUAGCAGUGAAAUGCGUAGAUAUCAGGAGGAAUACCGAUGGCGAAGGCAGGUCUCUGGGCUGACACUGACGCUCAUGCACGAAAGCGUGGGGAGCAAACAGGAUUAGAUACCCCAGUA